ACGAACCGGGCAAACGUUAUUCGGAAUUACUGGGCUUAAAGGGUGCGUAGGCGGCGCUUCAAGUCGGGUGUGAAAUCCCACGGCUCAACCGUGGAACUGCGCCCGAUACUGUCGUGCUAGAGGAAGAUAGAGGUGAGCGGAACGAAUGGUGGAGCGGUGAAAUGCGUUGAUAUCAUUCGGAACACCCGUGGCGAAAGCGGCUCACUGGGUCUUUUCUGACGCUGAGGCACGAAAGCUAGGGGAGCGAACGGG
rnacentral:rRNA from 1 species